rnacentral:rRNA from 1 species
GACGAACGCUGGCGGCGUGCUUAACACAUGCAAGUCGAACGGAAAGGCCCCCAUCUUGGUGGGGGUGCUCGAGUGGCGAACGGGUGAGUAACACGUGGGUGAUCUGCCCUGUACUUCGGGAUAAGCUUGGGAAACUGGGUCUAAUACCGGAUAGGACCAUGGUUUAGUGUCUCAUGGUGGAAAGAUUAUUGUUUUGGUGCAGGAUGAGCUCGCGGCCUAUCAGCUUGUUGGUGGGGUAAUGGCCUACCAAGGCGUCGACGGGUAGCCGGCCUGAGAGGGUGGACGGCCACAUUGGGACUGAGCUACGGCCCAGACGCCUACGGGAGGCAGCAGUGGGGAAUAUUGCACAAUGGGCGCAAGCCUGAUGCAGCGACGCCGCGUGGGGGAUGACGGCCUUCGGGUUGUAAACUCCUUUCGUUAGGGACGAAGCCGCACUUUUUUUGGGUGUGGUGACGGUACCUUUGUUAAGAAGCACCGGCUAACUACGUG